UAUCAGGUGCUCGGACUUGGUCCCAAAGCCGAUUUGCGGCGGCGGGGUAAAUGGGAACGCGGUAGGGACAUCAAGUCCUGUCCUGAUCCGAGACUGCCCACGCAACUGUGAGCGUUAGCUGCAUUCCGAAUACCACUGGAGAGAUCCGGGAAGGUGGAAAUUGCCGCGAUGAAGCGCGAGUCAGGAAACCUGCCAGGUACACUGUGACGCC
rnacentral:ncRNA from 2 species